rnacentral:ncRNA from 1 species
UCAAAAGCGAUGAUGGAAACGAGUAAGCCUACUCUGUUUCGCCAGCGAGCCCGGGGUUGGUGUGAGCCGGGUCGAAGCGACAGGCUGAAAAUCCUUCCGGAGCCGCAAGCUGAACACAGGGAACUGUCAGUAGGUGCGCCGGAUGCGCCUUCCGUUAGCAGGGCGCGGGCCUAUCGCCAUAAACGAUGCGCCCGACAGAGCGCUCAGAUUGUCUGAGAACCAGGGUGGUACCGCGGGAGAAUUUCUCUCGUCCCUGAC